CAGACAGCGACUCUGAGAACCUCUUGCGAUGCUUGUAUUGUAGUAAAGAAAACAAGUUUCAGACUUAAGAGUCAAGAGGCAUAGUUCAUGUGUUGCCAUGGAUACAGAAGAUAAAUCAAAAGAAACACAUGAACACAUGUCCAAGACAAUGUGGUGGGGCACCUGGGGUCCAUUCGCCCCUUUCCACAUUUCCGUCCUGAGUGAGACAUGUCACACCUUCAAGCAGCUCUGGACCAGAAAGAUUUGAACACCCUUGUGGGAAUACUUACAAUCUCUGGCCCGAGUCUACAAGACUUCCACAUAAAAGGAACUGGAUGCAAGUCUAAAGAACGUUCUGUCUGGUGAUCUGCAGUCUCUGAUGUUAGGUCUGAUGAUGACACCAGAGCAGUUUGAAGCCCAUCGUUUGCACAAGGCCAUGGAGUUUUGCCAUUUAUUCUCUAGUAAAGUGCUAGUGUAUGAGCAUGCAACUACAUGUUGUGUGAAUAUUGCCAUACAUUUAACUAUAGAUUGAUAUCCUUUCUGUCAAUGUUGAUGUAUUUACUUUUUGUGUUUGUGUGUAUUCAGGGUGCUGGUACAAAUGAGGACACACUUUUGGAGAUUUUGUGUACAAGAACACCACAGCAGCUCUCUGACAUCAAGGCUGCAUACAAUCUAGCUACUCUAAUAAUUGAUAGGGCUGUCAAUAGAUUAAAUUUUUUUAUCUAAUUAAUAACAUUAUUGUCGUGUUCACUUAAAUACACUGCUAAUUGAGAAAUUCCCACUAG